rnacentral:rRNA from 1 species
AUGUUUCCUUUCUAUGAUUCGCCUAGCCCCAUGGACUUGCCCCUUUACCAACAGCUGCAGAUCAGCCCUCCCUCGCCAAAGGCGCCGGAUCACCAAUCCUUGCUCUACUAUCAUUCCUCCCCUGCAUUCGCCGCCGACGCCUUCCACCACAGCUACCUCUGUGCCGGUGCCGCGACGCCGCCCGCUGCCGAGAUCGACAACCAGCCGCCGCCGGAGCUGCUGCUGAUGGAUCAGGCUCCGGCGCCAAGGGCAGACGGUGUUGGAACCGCACAAGGCCUGCGCGGCGGUGGAGGCCUCGACAGCGCGGCGGCCGCCGCGGCCAGGAAAGACCGGCACAGCAAGAUAUGCACCGCCGGCGGGAUGAGGGACCGGCGGAUGCGGCUGUCCCUCGACGUCGCCCGCAAGUUCUUCGCGCUCCAGGACAUGCUCGGCUUCGACAAGGCCAGCAAGACGGUGCAAUGGCUCCUCGAUACGUCAAAGGGCGCCAUCAGGGAGGUCAUGACUGACGAGGCGUCCUCCGACUGCGAGGAGGACGGCUCCAGCAGCCUCUCCGUCGUCGACGGCAAGCACAAGCCGCCAGGGACGGAGGCUGGAGGUGGUGAUCACGGCGAGGGGAAGAAGCCAGUGCCAAGGGCAGCCAGAAGGGCACCCGCCAAUCCAAAACCGCAAAGGAAAUUGGCCAGUGCGCACCCGAUCCCCGACAAGGAGUCGAGGACGAAGGCCCGGGAGAGGGCGAGGGAGCGGACGAGGGAAAAGAACCGGAUGCGAUGGGUGACGCUCGCGUCCACAAUUAACAUCGAGCCGGCAGCCACCGGCAUGGCGGCGGCGAGGGCGGGCGAGUUGGUCACGAAUCCGAACAAUUUGAUCAAUCGCUCCUCGUCCAUGAACACAUCAAGAGCUGAAUUGGAGGAGGGGUGCUCGUCGUCCAUGCCGAGCGAAGCGAUCAUGGCUGGCUUCGGCAAUGGAGGGUACGGAAGCAGCGGCAACUACUACCAGUAUCAGCUGGAGCAGCAAUGGGAGCUCGGUGGAGUGGUGUUUACCAACUCGCAGCCCUACUGA